rnacentral:rRNA from 1 species
UACGUAGGGGGCUAGCGUUAUCCGGAAUUACUGGGCGUAAAGGGUGCGUAGGUGGUUUCUUAAGUCAGAGGUGAAAGGCUACGGCUCAACCGUAGUAAGCCUUUGGAACUGGGGAACUUGAGUGCAGGAGAGGAGAGUGGAAUUCCUAGUGUAGCGGUGAAAUGCGUAGAUAUUAGGAGGAACACCAGUUGCGAAGGCGGCUCUCUGGACUGUAACUGACACUGAGGCACGAAAGCGUGGGGAGCAAACAGG